UACAGAGGUCCCGAGCGUUGUUCGGAUUCAUUGGGCGUAAAGGGUGCGUAGGCGGUCUGCUAAGUUUGAUGUGAAAUCCCGGGGCUCAACCCUGGAAUGGCAUUGAAUACUGGCGGACUAGAGUACCGGAGAGGAAACUGGAAUUUACGGUGUAGCAGUGAAAUGCGUAGAUAUCUGGAGGAACACCGGUGGCGAAGGCGGCAUCCUGGACCGGCAUUGACGCUGACGGAGCGAAAGCCAGGGGAGCAAGCGGG
rnacentral:rRNA from 1 species